GGGCACAUAGCGUAGGGGUUAUCGUGCUCGCGUUGCAUCAACGUUCUUGGGAGAGGUCUCCGGUUCAAAUCCGGAUGUGUCUA